UACGUAGGGUGCGAGCGUUGUCCGGAAUUAUUGGGCGUAAAGGGCUCGUAGGCGGUUUGUCGCGUCGGGAGUGAAAACCUUGGGCUUAACUCAGGGCUUGCUUUCGAUACGGGCAGACUAGAGGUAUGCAGGGGAGAACGGAAUUCCUGGUGUAGCGGUGAAAUGCGCAGAUAUCAGGAGGAACACCGGUGACGAAGGCGGUUCUCUGGGCAUGAUCUGACGCUGAGGAGCGAAAGUGUGGGGAGCGAACAGG
rnacentral:rRNA from 1 species